rnacentral:rRNA from 1 species
AUGUCUCCACUGCUUUUUGUGUUAGCUGCUGACUUACUUCAAUCUGUGGUCAAUGACAUGUGUGCCAAGGGCACCUUAUCUUUGCCAAUUCCAUCUAACUGUAAGGAUUAUCCUAUAGUACAGUAUGCUGAUGACACAUUGAUUGUUCUUCCUGCUGAGGAUCAACAACUUUUGGCUUUGAAGGACAUGUUGGAGGUUUAUGCUGCAUCUACUGGAUUGUCUGCUAAUUUCUCCAAGUCCAUGAUGAUACCUUUGAAUGUUUCUCCCGAGGAAGCUAACAGGUUAUCAACUAUCCUGGGUUGUAAGUUGGGAACAAUGCCUUUUACAUAUCUUGGUUUGCCUAUGGGCACCACUAGGCAUUCUGUUCAGGAUCUUAUGCCCUUGGUACACAGAAUUGAAACGAGGCUUUCUGCUACUUCAUGCUUCCUCAAUCAAGGCAGCAUGUUGCAAUUGUUACAGUCUGUGCUUACUUCUAUGCCAAUAUAUUUUCUCUGCACUCUGGACAUUCCACCUGGUAUUUUGAAGCAAAUUGAGAGAAUAUAG